UACGGGGGGCGCAAGCGUUGUUCGGAAUUACUGGGCGUAAAGCGCGGGCAGGUGGUCCGUUUAGUCUACUGUGAAACUCCGGGGCUCAACUCCGGACAUGCAGUGGAUACUGGCGGACUAGAGACCGGUAGAGGCAAGUGGAAUUCCUGGAGUAGCGGUGGAAUGCGUAGAUAUCAGGAAGAACACCUGUGGCGAAGGCGACUUGCUGGGCCGGGUCUGACACUCAUCCGCGAAAGCGUGGGGAGCAAACAGG
rnacentral:misc_RNA from 1 species